rnacentral:hammerhead_ribozyme from 1 species
AUCGAGCUGACGAGUCCUAAAUAGGAUCAGACGCGCGUCCUGGAU